UACAGAGGGUGCAAACGUUGUUCGGAAUUACUGGGCAUAAAGCGCACGUAGGUGGUCCGCUAAGUCGCGUGUGAAAUCCCCCGGCUCAACCGGGGAAAUGCGCGUGAUACUGGCGGGCUUGAGAUCGGGAGGGGUGAAUGGAACUCCAGGUGGAGCGGUGAAAUGCGUAGAGACUGGGAAGAACACCAGUGGCGAAGGCGGCUACCUGGACAGGUACUGACGCUGAAGCGCGAAAGCUAGGGGAGCAAACAGG
rnacentral:rRNA from 1 species